ACAAGCAAGUUCCACACAAAAGCCACAGGUGGGAAUCGAACCCAUGACCUCACUGUGAGGCAACAGUGCUAACCACUGAGCAACCGUGCUGCCCAAAAUAAAAGCAUAUCAUUUAUAAAUAAAUAAUAAUGACAAAUAACAUUCCAAAUUGCAAAUUAAUUAUUCAGAAAUCAUGCAAAGUGAUUGUCUGGAUUUUUUUUUUGUUUUUAAUUCUGUCUCUCACAGUUGAAGUGUACCUAUGAUAAAAAAUUACAGACCUCUCCAUUCUUUGUAAAAGGGAAAACUUGCAAAAUUGACAGUCUCUCAAAUACAUAUUUUCCUCAGCGUAUAUGGCUUAUAAAAUGUUAGUUUCUGGUAUCUGAAUACCUCUAGAUAGCUCGACUAAGUUGGUUUGUGAUGGCAAAGUUAGAAAUUUAGUCCAGUUGGUGCAGUCAUGGUGGAAUUGUAACGGAGGCUACAUUAUUCUUCUUUUGAGCCAUUGAUAUUUUGCAAGAUGAUGCUGUUUGAGUCAUAAAUACAUACCAUUACUAAUUACUGUAUUUUAAAAAAUGCAUAACAAGUUUAUUCAGUCGAGUAGCACUGCGUUUAUUUACAAAUUUAUAUACAGAGAUGCAGGGAUGAAAAAUCUGUGCUUUUUGGUGGAUUUUAGCUUUUUUGCCAGUCGCCUGGGUCAUUUUUUUUAGAUUAGUGCAAAUCCGUUGUGUUGUAAAUUCGCUUUAGUUGUAUUAGUUGUUAUUUAGGUCAGGCAUCGAUUUGGACAGCCCCAAUGCGCUGUUAGCUUCGGUCGCGUUAGGACCAGUUAUUUUUGGCUCCAACAAAGCUGCUUUUAAAGUAGAAUUUCUUCGUGAAGAGGUCUUUCUACAAACAUGUCUGAAGUCCAGCAGCUGAGGAACAUGUUGAAACUACAGCGAACACCUGCUGAAGGAAUGAUCGCAGACCAGGAAGAAGAAAUGUGUCAUUUAAAAGAAGAGAACAAAAGAGACAUGCAGCCUUUGUUGGUGAUUAAAGAAGAAACUCUCCCUGAACACCAGGAAUGGAAU